rnacentral:rRNA from 1 species
AUUGAACGCUGGCGGCAUGCCUUACACAUGCAAGUCGAACGGUAACAGGUCUUCGGAUGCUGACGAGUGGCGCACGGGUGAGUAAUACAUCGGAACGUGCCCAGACUUGGGGGAUAACGAGGCGAAAGCUUUGCUAAUACCGCAUACGAUCUAAGGAUGAAGGCAGGGGACCGCAAGGCCUUGCGCGCUUGGAGCGGCCGAUGGCAGAUUAGGUAGUUGGUGGGAUAAAAGCUUACCAAGCCGACGAUCUGUAGCUGGUCUGAGAGGACGACCAGCCACACUGGGACUGAGACACGGCCCAGACUCCUACGGGAGGCAGCAGUGGGGAAUUUUGGACAAUGGGCGAAAGCCUGAUCCAGCAAUGCCGCGUGCAGGAUGAAGGCCUUCGGGUUGUAAACUGCUUUUGUACGGAACGAAAAGGAUCUGGCUAAUACCUGGGGCACAUGACGGUACCGUAAGAAUAAGCACCGGCUAACUACGUG